rnacentral:pre_miRNA from 1 species
UUAGCUCAUUUUUGUAUGGAAUGGGAUCGUUUGCGUACGUUUGCCGCUAGGGGCGCUGUUCCAGCUGCUUACAAAAUUUGAUUA